rnacentral:rRNA from 1 species
UACGUAGGGUGCAAGCGUUGUCCGGAAUUAUUGGGCGUAAAGAGCUCGUAGGCGGUCUGUUACGUCGGCUGUGAAAACUCGGGGCUUAACUCCGGGCCUGCAGUGGGUACGGGCUGACUAGAGUGCGGUAGGGGAGACUGGAAUUCCUGGUGUAGCGGUGAAAUGCGCAGAUAUCAGGAGGAACACCGGUGGCGAAGGCGGUUCUCUGGGCCUGUACUGACGCUGAGGAGCGAAAGCGUGGGGAGCGAACAGG